rnacentral:rRNA from 1 species
GACGAACGCUGGCGGCGUGCUUAACACAUGCAAGUCGAGCGAUGAAACUACUUCGGUAGUGAAUUAGCGGCGAACGGGUGAGGAACACGUGAGGAAUCUGCCUUCUACACUGGGAUAACUCCGAGAAAUCGGAGCUAAUACCGAAUAGUUCUUCAGACCGCAUGGUCUGAUGAUGAAAGGCGCUUCGGCGUCACCUUGGGAUGGCCUUGCGGUGCAUUAGCUAGUUGGUGGGGUAAUGGCCCACCAAGGCGACGAUGCAUAGCCGACCUGAGAGGGUGAUCGGCCACACUGGGACUGAGACACGGCCCAGACUCCUACGGGAGGCAGCAGUAGGGAAUCUUCCACAAUGGACGAAAGUCUGAUGGAGCAACGCCGCGUGAGUGAUGAAGGUUUUCGGAUCGUAAAACUCUGUUGUAAGGGAAGAACAGGUAUGAGAGGUAAUGCUCAUGCUAUGACGGUACCUUACGAGAAAGCCACGGCUAACCG